rnacentral:rRNA from 1 species
AUACGUAGGGGGCGAGCGUUGUCCGGAAUUACUGGGCGUAAAGGGCGUGUAGGCGGCCUGUUAAGUCAGGCGUGAAAACCCCGGGCUUAACCUGGGGACUGCGUUUGAAACUGGCGGGCUUGAGGGCAGGAGAGGAAAGUGGAAUUCCCGGUGUAGCGGUGAUAUGCGUAGAUACCGGGAGGAACACCAGUGGCGAGGGCGGCUUUCUGGACUGCACCUGACGCUGAGGCGCGAAAGCCAGGGGAGCGAACGGGAUUAGAUACCCCGGUAGUCCUGGCCGUAAACGAUGGGUACUAGGUGUGGGAGGUAUCGACUCCUUCCGUGCCGGAGUUAACGCAUUAAGUACCCCGCCUGGGGAGUACGUGCGCAAGCAUGAA